AUUGAACGCUGGCGGCAGGCUUAACACAUGCAAGUCGAGCGGGGGAAGGUAGCUUGCUACUGGACCUAGCGGCGGACGGGUGAGUAAUGCUUAGGAAUCUGCCUAUUAGUGGGGGACAACAUCUCGAAAGGGAUGCUAAUACUGCAUACGUCCUACGGGAGACAGCAGGGGAUCUUCGGACCUUGCGCUAAUAGAUGUGCCUAAGUCGGAUUAGCUAGUUGGUGGGGCAAAGGCCUACCAAGGCGACGAUCUGUAGCGGGUCUGAGAGGAUGAUCCGCCACACUGGGACUGAGACCCGGCCCAGACUCCUGCGGGAGGCAGCAGGGGGGAAUAUUAGACAAUGGGGGGUACCCAGAUCCAGCCAUGCCGCGUGUGUGAAUAAGGCCUUAUGGUUGUAAAGCACUUUAAGCGCGGAGGAGGCUACUCUAGUUAAUACCUAGGGAUAGUGGACGUUACUCGCAGAAUAAGCACCGGCUAACUCUGUGCCAGCCGCCGCGGUAA
rnacentral:rRNA from 1 species